UUUGUUCAUAUAACAUAGAAA
rnacentral:piRNA from 1 species